UACGUAGGGUGCAAGCGUUGUCCGGAAUUAUUGGGCGUAAAGAGCUCGUAGGCGGUCUGUCGCGUCGGCUGUGAAAACUCGGGGCUCAACUCCGAGCUUGCAGUCGAUACGGGCAGGCUAGAGUUCGGCAGGGGAGACUGGAAUUCCUGGUGUAGCGGUGAAAUGCGCAGAUAUCAGGAGGAGCACCAAUGGCGAAGGCAGCUCGCUGGGACGGUACUGACGCUGAGACGCGAAAGCGUGGGGAGCAAACAGG
rnacentral:rRNA from 1 species